rnacentral:rRNA from 1 species
UACGUAGGGGGCUAGCGUUGUCCGGAAUCAUUGGGCGUAAAGAGCGUGUAGGCGGCCCGGUAAGUCCGCUGUGAAAGUCCAGGGCUCAACCCUGGGAUGCCGGUGGAUACUGUCGGGCUCGAGUCCGGAAGAGGAGUGUGGAAUUCCUGGUGUAGCGGUGAAAUGCGCAGAUAUCAGGAGGAACACCAAUGGCGAAGGCAGCACUCUGGGACGUGACUGACGCUGAGACGCGAAAGCGUGGGGAGCAAGCAGG